ensembl:lncRNA
GUUGUGAAACCACCACAGCUAUUUAGGUUCUAAGACAUUUUCAUCACUCCAAAAUAAAACCCCAUAGCCAUUAAGCAGUUAUUCCCCAUGUGCUUCCCUCAGACCCUGGCAGCCAUCGAUCUGCUUUCUGUCUCUAGAGAUGUGCCUGUUCUGGACACGCUAUUUCAUACAAAUGGACUCAUACGCUAUGUGGCCUUUGGCAUGAGCAAUCCUCCUCUUAGUGUAAUGUUUUUGAGGCUCAUCCACAUUGUAGUACUGCAUCCAGACUCCAUUCCUUUUUAGGACUGCUAUGAUUUGGACAUGUUUCCCCCAAAGGUCCCUGGUGCUAUUGGGAAGUAGUGGAGCAUUUAAGAGGCGGGCCUUGUGGGAGGUCUUCAAUGACUGUGUGUGUCCUCUGAGAGUACUGUGGGACCCCAGGCCCUUUCUCUUGCUGCCUAUUUCACUCCUUGACCAUGAGGGUCUCAACUAUGUACUACAGGCUGGCCUCAAACAUGAAGUGAUCCUCCUGCCUCAGCCUCCUGAGUACUAGGAUUACAGGCAUGUGCCACCAGGCUCAGCUGAAGGUUUCCAAGGGCUGAUUGGUAACCCCGGGUUAGUUUUCCACCUUUGUCUUCAUGGUGGACCUGCUGGCUUUUGUUGAACACUGACAGCACACAGGUCCUGCUGUAGAACUGGAAGGAAGCUUCUGGUCUAGGGGCUGCAGGACACUAAGUGCCCCUGAGACCUCAGAGACCAGCUUGCCCUUGCAGCUUCUGCCCAGCUUUUAUGGCUCUGGUCCCCCUGAAGGCUGUGGACAGAGAGGACGGAACCACACGUGAGGACCUCAAGUGCCCUCUCCCACAGGAAUGACAUUGCCUGCCAACAGCUACAAAGAGGCAACGCCCAUCCCACACUGAUCAUCUUUGCAGCUAUUGAGUGUUUUCCCUUCUUUUUUCUUUUGGUACCAGGGAUCAAACUCAGGUCCUUGUGCUUGUGUGACAGGCGGUGGAACCACUGAGCUAAAUCCCUGGCCCUGUUUUCCCUUCUUAAGAGCUCAAAGUUCUCAAUCAGAGAAGCAAGUAGUUAUGGAUACUGUCACAGUAAAACCGGAACUCAGCCUAAACUGGUCUGUGCUUGUUUGCAAAUGCGAUUCUGAUGCUAUGGACUUUUC